UACGGGGGGGGCAAGCGUUGUUCGGAAUUACUGGGCGUAAAGGGCGCGUAGGCGGUUGGAUGAGUCAGCUGUGAAAACCACGGGCUUAACUCGUGGCCUGCAGUUGAGACUGUCUGGCUUGAGUGUGGGAGAGGAGAGUGGAAUUCCUGGUGUAGCGGUGAAAUGCGUAGAUAUCAGGAGGAACACCGGUGGCGAAGGCGGCUCUCUGGACCACAACUGACGCUGAGGCGCGAAAGCUAGGGGAGCAAACAGG
rnacentral:rRNA from 1 species